AACGAACGCUGGCGGCAUGCCUAACACAUGCAAGUCGAACGAGACCUUCGGGUCUAGUGGCGCACGGGUGCGUAACGCGUGGGAACCUGCCCUUAGGUUCGGAAUAACUCCCCGAAAGGGGUGGUAAUACCGGAUAAUGUCUUCGGACCAAAGAUUUAUCGCCUUAGGAUGGGCCCGCGUUGGAUUAGCUAGUUGGUAGGGUAAAAGCCUACCAAGGCGACGAUCCAUAGCUGGUCUGAGAGGAUGAUCAGCCACACUGGGACUGAGACACGGCCCAGACUCCUACGGGAAGCAGCAGUGGGGAAUAUUGGACAAUGGGCGAAAGCCUGAUCCAGCAAUGCCGCGUGAGUGAUGAAGGCCUUAGGGUUGUAAAGCUCUUUUAGCCGGGAUGAUAAUGACAGUACCGGGAGAAUAAGCCCCGGCUAACUCCGUG
rnacentral:rRNA from 1 species